rnacentral:rRNA from 1 species
CUUUGAACUAAGCAUAUCAAUAAGCGGAGGAAAAGAAACUAACAAGGAUUCCCCUAGUAACUGCGAGUGAAGCGGGAAAAGCUCAAAUUUAAAAUCUGGUGGUCUUUAACCAUCCGAGUUGUAAUUUAGAGAAGCGUCUUCCGCGCUGGACCGUGCACAAGUCUCCUGGAACGGAGCGUCAUAGAGGGUGAGAAUCCCGUCUUUGGCACGGACAUGCCAGGGCUUUUGUGAUGCGCUCUCGAAGAGUCGAGUUGUUUGGGAAUGCAGCUCAAAAUGGGUGGUGAACUCCAUCUAAAGCUAAAUAUUGGCGAGAGACCGAUAGCGAACAAGUACCGUGAGGGAAAGAUGAAAAGCACUUUGGAAAGAGAGUGAAACAGUACGUGAAAUUGUUGAAAGGGAAACGCUUGAAGUCAGUCGCGUCGACCGAGACUCAGCCUUGCCUUGGCUUGGUGUACUUCUCGGCUGACGGGUCAGCAUCAAUUUCGCCCCUUGGAUAAUGGCAAGGGAAAUGUGACACCUUUACGGUGUGUUAUAGUCUCUCGUCGCAUGCAAGGGUUGGGAUUGAGGAACUCAGCAUGCGCCCUUUGGGCGUCGGGGUUUUUGCCCACGAUACGUGCUUAGGAUGUUGGCGUAAUGGCUUUAAACGACCCGUCUUGAAACACGGACCAAGGAGUCUAACAUGCCUGCGAGUGUUCGGGUGGAAAACCCGUGCGCGCAAUGAAAGUGAAAGUUGGGACCUCUGUCGUGGAGGGCACCGACGCCCGGACCAGACCUUUUGUGACGGCUCUGCGGUAAAGCAUGUAUGUUAGGACCCGAAAGAUGGUGAACUAUGCCUGAAUAGGGUGAAGCCAGAGGAAACUCUGGUGGAGGCUCGUAGCGAUUCUGACGUGCAAAUCGAUCGUCAAAUUUGGGUAUAGGGGCGAAAGACUAAUCGAACCAUCUAGUAGCUGGUUCCUGCCGAUUCUCCUCU